UNCUAAACUAAGAUGCAAGCACCAGGUU
rnacentral:piRNA from 1 species